ensembl:misc_RNA 7SK 7SK RNA
AGAUGUGAGGGCGACCUAGCUGUGGCAUCUGUCACUCUGCUGAUUGACAGGGCUGUCUGAUCUGGCUGGCUAGCUAGGUGUCCCCUUCCUCCCGCACCAUGCCAUGUGCAUCCUUCCCCGAGGCUGUGCGCUAGGCUGACGAGGAUGACCAUCUCCCAUAGAAGAGGACUGUCCUCCAUCAGGGGUACAGGAGUAGCUGUGCACCACUGCUAGAACCUCCAAACAAGCUCUCAGGAAGAAUAUGAAGAUGAAAAAGUGUAAACAGGAGAGCAAUUGAAUUAUUGAUAACUCCCCAUAAAGAAAAGUUCAAGACAUAAGGCUUCACUGG